GGUGGCGCAGUGGUAGCGCAACUGACUGUUAAUCAGUGUGUCGUAGGUUCGAACCCUACC
rnacentral:tRNA from 1 species